rnacentral:rRNA from 1 species
UACGAGAGGGGGCAAGCGUUGUUCGGAAUUACUGGGCGUAAAGGGCGCGUAGGCGGCCCGCUAAGUCGAACGUGAAAUCCCCGGAGCUCAACUCGGGAACUGCGUCCGAUACUGGCGGGCUUGGAAUCCGGGAGAGGGAUGUGGAAUUCCAGGUGUAGCGGUGAAAUGCGUGAGAUAUCUGGAGGAACACCGGUGGCGAAGGCGGCAUCCUGGACCAACACUGACGCUGAACAGGCGAAAGC